UUUUUUUUUUUUUUUUUGGAGACGCCGAAAGGAGCCUGUUGGUGUGCUGCGGCUGCACUGUGACUGGAUCUUGUCUUCUGUCUGGCGCUUCGAUUUCUGUCCGGCUGGAUUUGAGGGUCAACACUGCCUGGUGCAGGGAGAUCAAAUGAGACUGCAAAGAAGCAUAAAAUGAAUAGACUAUCUAACCAACCAAAGACCGGGGCAGCAGCACACCAGCAAGACGGCAUCUUCUCCUCCCCAGCCUAGAAGCCCUGUGAAAUCGAGGAUCUUCCCCCUAAAACACUAACAUACAAGAUAUGUGCAAUCAAGCUGCCACCGCUUGGUAAAAACUCACGAUGCCUAACCCAAAAGGAUCGGGAGCAGAUCCUUGAAUCAGCUGUCACUUCUAUAGAAUGGGAUUUUUUUUCCUUCCUCCUUAACCUGCGCUGGAAAUUGCCGUUGGCUUUAUACAUCUCUAUAGAGGAAGGCCAAAGAGUCUUGCGUGAGAAUGAAGCGAUUUACAAUGCAAAUAGAGGCCUGUGAAGGGAUGGAUGCCGCUGCUCACUCCCAACAGCUUGCUGCGCCUUAAUAGCUGGUUUUAUUUUCUGAUAUUAAUAGAUGAAUUGUUUGCUGACGCUGCCGGAGAUUACUUGCUGGAAGGGGAAAAAAGUUCGGAAUAAACUCUGAAGGCAACAGAUCUUAUUUGGAUGUUUUAGCCGCACAUACACAAACUGAAACCAGGUCAUAUUUACAUCAAAGGAGGAAUCUUGGGCACGGCAAGUAUCCUGGACGACUACCCUUCAGUACUGCUGGAGAGAACCGGGAUCUGGAGUCUGGCGAGAGGAAGACAGAGGCAUGUGAGGGAAGCGAGUUGUUAUCUUUGGUUAUCUAGCUGUAUGAGUGUAUUGGUCUUCAUAAAGCUAGAUAACCGAAAGUAAAAACUCCUUCAAGAUCGCCGGGGAGCGUGUGAGAUGAAAGACUACAACCAAGAGACAGUAAAAACCAGAAAGGUCAGGAAUACUUAUUGAAUCUAACUUUGUUUUUGUUUUUGUUUUUCCUUAUCAUGAAAGGUGGGAUGAGAGGAAAUUGACACAUAUAUGCUGAGAUACUAACGUGUCAGGUUUUGAAAGGGGUUGUUACAGCUGCAAAGGAGAAUUGUAUAGUACUAAUGAGUAAAGAUGCAUGUACACUUUGUUCUAUUUAAGGCAAAAGUUUAUAUAAGAGGAACUUUUUUCUUAGAAAGAGAUCGUAGAGAUGUCUGAGACCUAGUUUUAAAAUGAUUCCAUAAUUAUGUAGAUUUGGGCAGUUCCCUUCUGAGGCUCCUCCCCCCAAAAUUUGAAGAUUGUGCUUGGAAACUACUUUAAAUGUAUUUGGGCUGUAUGUCAAAUUCUAUAAAAUUAGACUUUAAGACAAGUUUAUACUGAGAGGUUAAUAAUUUAUAUCUAUUGAAGACUUAGAACUAGCCGGGAAAAAAUGAAGAAAAACAAAAACAAAGGCUGAUUUUUAUUCUUCUAUUCAAAAUACAAGGACAGAUGCUUCUCUGUUCCAAGAGGGUUUCCUUGAGGAAGCUACUGAAGCAGAAAGACAUGAUGGAGACGAGAUCGCCUCCCCUCUUGUCAAAGUGUUAAAAAAAUGUUCUGUCUUACUCUGAGCCUAGCAUUGGAAAUGAAAGUGACAUUUACGCCACAACCCACGUGUGCGCCUCCUCUCUUUUUGUUUAAGGAUGAUCAGGUCUAUCCAGGAAACAGCUCUGGCAUCCCAAACUGAAAUAAUUAGGACGUAUAUAGACCUGACAAAAAUGGAAAGGGGGUGGGGAAUCUGAGGGUCUGUCCUGCCUAAUUGAUUCCGCUAAACGGAAUGCAGGAGAUGUGAACGGCAGGACGCUCCGAUUCCCACGCUCGGGGGCAAGUGGUAAAGCGGGCCGGCAGCCUAUGACAGACAGCCCUGUUGGGGGGUAGGGGUAUGAAAAAAACAUCAAGUGCACACACCAUACUCAUCUCCAUCGCUUAAGAAAGUAAAGGCAUUUCCCACCCACAGCCAUCUGCAGCCUCCCAAAUGGCAACGCCAACUGGUCUGGUCUGUAGCUGCUGCAUACUGUCUGUUUCUGUUAAUUUUUAACCGCUGUUUAAUUUGGCCCUGAUCAAGUUUGGCUUUCUUUUUUGGUUGAGAUUUUCAGUAUUUAAGGAAAGCUAGUGGAAAGUGAUUUCAAGAAAGUCCCAUUACUGCCUGCCCCUCCUGUGAAAUCCUCAGUCUCUACUUAUGGCCUUGUGACCACACUUUUGGCUUUUGUUUUGGCUGGGUUGUAUUUUUUUUUUUUUUUUUACUAUAUAUCUCUAUAAACAGUCAUUAUUAUGGCUUCAUCAGGUUGUUCACCUCUUAAGAUGACACACCUAGGAAUUUGGCCUGAUUGUGCUAAUUAAAUACACAUUGAAAGUCAAACCAAGAAGUCAUCAGCCUAUAGAAAAGUUGAUUACAAUAACAAUGUGAUAAAAGGUUGUUUUGGAAUAAUCCCAGGUAGAUGCAUUCUAACCAGGCAUUUUAAAUCUUAAUUUAAAAAUAACUAUUCUUAGCUUUAUAAACUUUGUGGAUUUUAGAAGUCCUCAUUGUGGUCUUUUCAUUAAAUUUCUUACAUUUUGCCACAUGUCACCAAGCGAACAUUUGUGUAGGCAUUUACACAUAAACACAACCAUUACAAUAAGAUGCCCAAAAUAGCCUGUUAUCUUCCACGUGACCUAGAUUACUGACACUUUUAAAUAUAUAAUUUUUCUUCAAAGGCAGUACAUUUUCCUUUGUAGCUUCAAUUCCAUGUAGGACUUCAUACUGUAAAACCCUGUAAAACCACUGUUAGUUUCCUUUAGAAACUCUGAGAGACUUUAAUAACAUAAAUUCUCAAUUUGGCUGCUGAACACGUGCCAGAGUUUUACUACCAUAGUGACCGUUGAGAAGACCCUUGUUUAUUUACAUCUGAAGCACUGUUUGUGCAAACAACCUUUCAUUGUUAAGUGCCUGUAUUCCUUUCAUUUACUUCAUGUCCAGGGGUGCUAUUUACCUAGAACCAUUGUCUACUACAAUUAACAUUUACAUUACAAAGUGUGUGGUUUUCUUUCUCAAGGAGGUUCAAUUAAGGCAAUAAGAUGUUUGCGGGGAAACCUAUUGUUUACUGAAAGCACUCAAUGGAGUCAAAUUACUGACGCUUUUGCCUACAUCUUGGUCUUUUAUGUAAAUAUGUUAAAUAUAACAUCUAAGGAAAAUAAACAAUAUUAUAAUUAUGUGUUUGCCAUUGUCAUAUCAAACUUGCUUUGUAUCAUACUAAUGUUACAUAACUUAUCGAUCAAUAAAAAUACAUUUCAGUGUUA